rnacentral:lncRNA from 1 species
UGCCCGUCACUGCAGUCAAGGAAAAACAUUUUCAAACUAGCCGUCGCGGAUGCAGCCACAGCGAUAAAGUUCGAUCCGUUGGAGACACCGAGAUCACUCAUUGUCUCAUUGGUCUCCCUUAUAACUUCCUUGAGAGGUAGCAAGUAGACAUUAACAUCAUGAGAGUACACAGAGUAACCACCAAUAAGGCCUAGAGACCCAUCAAGACCACUGGAGGGGGAGGAGGAAGGAGGCGGCGGCUCUUGGCCGUCGACGAAACGGUAGAGAAGCCUUGUGGGGAGAGGAAGUUUGACCUUGAGAGCAGACUCAAACUCUUCAAGAUCCUCCUCUGUGGCUCCUUUUCUCAGUGUUGCCUCUAGAUCCUUCAAUGGAUCCACUAGUUGUUGGAAAAUUUGAACAACUCUCAUACACAAACUCUUCUUCCUCGGCUUGUAAGAGAGGGUACUACAUAUUACAGACCAAACCGUAUUAGAAAAAAGCUCAGAUCCAACAUGUAUUAGCACGAGGGAUCAACCUGAUUCAUUACCUUUCCUAUCACAGCUUCUCCAUUGACUUUAUCUAUCACCUCAUCAUCAGCUCGGAUAAUCCAAUGCCUCCAAUACAAUUGACAAGAGCUAUGAUGUCUCCCGUUCAAGAAGCAUCCUUCUGGGACGAGAGACAUGCGGAUGGAGUAAGCAUACCAGUAAGCCGGUGGCUGAGCACGAAGAUUAGAUACUUCAGGGAUAAACACAGACGAGGCACGCACCUGCGUAAUCAACACACAAGGCUGUUUCAAUCUACUGAUUAUUAGUAACUAAAUAGACUAUUAUUGUUUACCUGCACACCGUUCGUUACAGCGACAGAACACAAGGGAGGAACCUCCGGGAACAAACUGAUACUCUUGAUGUUAUCCUCCUCACGGACUUUUAUAACACCGCUCUGUAACCUCCUGCCAUGUUCUUCCAACCAACGCAGCAUACCAUCCUGCUGCUGAUCACCGUUGAUCUCAGGCACACAUGGAAGCAUUUGGCGUGUACUUGUCCUAGUAUAAAGCUGCCCGUCACUGCAGUCAAGGAAAAACAUUUUCAAACUAGCCGUCGCGGAUGCAGCCACAGCGAUAAAGUUCGAUCCGUUGGAGACACCGAGAUCACUCAUUGUCUCAUUGGUCUCCCUUAUAACUUCCUUGAGAGGUAGCAAGUAGACAUUAACAUCAUGAGAGUACACAGAGUAACCACCAAUAAGGCCUAGAGACCCAUCAAGACCACUGGAGGGGGAGGAGGAAGGAGGCGGCGGCUCUUGGCCGUCGACGAAACGGUAGAGAAGCCUUGUGGGGAGAGGAAGUUUGACCUUGAGAGCAGACUCAAACUCUUCAAGAUCCUCCUCUGUGGCUCCUUUUCUCAGUGUUGCCUC